rnacentral:sRNA from 2 species
GUCCCAGAAUGUAACAUUGGAGGGCUGGUAGAGAAAUGUCAUCGGCCAGAGCAUCAAGCUUAGUCACCCAAUUUUGCUCGAAGAGCGCGGGAUCCUGCGGGAUACGGGCGGUAGAUGAUAUGGCAGAAAUGCCAAAGAUCAAAUUCAACUGUGCCAGAUAGUAUGGGUCAUCUUCAAAUGCCGCAGGGUUGUUGGUAUACUGGCCGUAGAUUUUCAACAGGGUAGGUCGAUGGAUGACAGGAUAUAGCGGUGCCCAUUCUUGGAAGAAAAUAUUGAUAAGUUGGUCUGAUACAAGUCGUGGGGGACUCUUCGGGGGUACAUCUUGAUGUGCCCAUAUUGGGAGAGAUGGAGGACCAAGCAAUUGUUCCGCUGAGAUGCCUGCGGCUGACUUGCCGCUCCGUUCCAGCUUGUUGGCAAAUGCAUCAAUGAAUGCCCUUGUACUCGAUGGGCCAGUAAAGGGUGCAUCUGUGGUUGGUUUUCUCAACAAUGAACACGAAUGUUGAACAUGGAUCAUGUCUUCUCGUUUCUCUGGGGAAGCAUCAUCGGAUGGCGACGAGCCUGGCUCAGUCGAGCCAUGCGGAGGAGUCUUGCGCGACGACGAAAAUGAUUGUAGCCGCGACAAGACAUCGAUCUUCUCGUCCUUCUCAUCCAACAACCCCUUAAGCUCACGAACCUCCGCCUCUAACGAACGAACUCUAUCCUCCAGUGACUCAGUGUAGCCUCGAGGAAAGGCUCGUCUGCUCAGUUUGUCGCUGGUCUUGCAUUCGAAGCCGACAUGCGCGCACUGCGAACAACACGGGCGGAUGCCAUCACAACGGAUCUUCUUGCUCCUACACCUGUCACAAGCCUGGGCAACACGACUCUGCGAGCUGUUGCCCACCUUGAUCACCUUCAUGGGUAGUAUGCCUGGCAUGGCUGUAGGUUUCUUUUAAGGUUGAUCGUAUAAUAAAACAAUUGCACCCUCUAUCCUUCAACUGGGGGAAUUGCCAGUAUGGGUCAAACUAGCCUUUGGUCUUGCUUAUGAUAAUCUUUUCUGCUUUAUUAUUCCCUUCUGUAUUACAUCUAUCCCUCUUUCUAGUCUUCUUCUUCUUCUUCUUCUUCUUUUCUUCUUCGUCCUCUUCCGUUUCUUCCUCCUUUUCUUCUUCCUCUUCCUCUUCCUCUUGCUCUUCCUCUAUUGAUUGUGUUGACCUUGCUCGUCGGAAUCGCGGCUCCCUCCACGUCAACACGAUGAGAGCUGGCACGAAGACUAAAGCGAAUUGAUAGCUGCCGGCUGCCACCACUCCUUUGAGCAGGUGGCUUGGGGCGGCACAGGCACAGAAUGCUUCGAGUAAAACAGGACAGGGUGGCGUCAGACAGCAGGGUAGGAAGCAGCUGAGGGCUGAACUGAAGUCGGGAGUGGAGAGACGGGCGUGUGGAGAAUUAGAAAGGGGGACGAGGAGACAUAAGUACGAAGAGGAACAAAAGGACUGUUGUCUGGAUUCCAGCACAGUCCAGUCUCAACGGAUCCGCGGCAGAGAUCGACCUUGGUACUUUCUGCCAGAGCGGGUGGGAAACCAGUGGAGGCGGCUUCGGGUGCGCAAGCGAUGCAGCGGUGGGGGUGAAAAGAGAGUGCUGGAGGUUUGAAGAUCGGAACGGCGAGAUUUCUUCCUGCAAUCAUAGGAAGACAGAAAGUUCAGCAUCGGGGCCCCAGCGCCAGGAAACUCAAGCACGCAGAGAGAUAGACCUGAUGCGGCGGACAGAGAUACGCCUCGCUGCGUCGGCUUGGGAACUUGGGGAACUUGGGGAGACCAUGGCUGCCAAGGCCCGGACAAACGGAAAUGCUUGGCGUAUCAGUGUUGGCGCCGCCCAAGGUUCUAGCGCCGAUUAGGCUUAGUGUAGCUGCCUCUUCCACAAGCGAAGCCCCGUGGCUUCCCCCGGGAGGAUCCCCCCAACGCAGGCGAAGCCAACCCUAACUGGACGCUAACGAACAGCCCCCAGUGAGGCCCAGCUCUAGCGGCAAACCUGUCAAAGUCUGGAAAUUUGCCCUAAGUUUAACCCUAAGUUUAGCGCAGGGUAAGCCCAAAUUUAACCCUGGGUUUGAGGCCUAUGAUGUCCUCGCACGAAAAUGGGAUCCCGCAAUCACCCUCUCUUCUCCACACAUUUUCGAAAGCUGGGGAAAUCCGUAUUUACCCCGGACGAAAAUCGAUCAACGGCGGCGCCUUGCCACUAAACUGAUAUUGUUAUUAAUUUAUUCAUUAUUAACUAAUUUAUUCACUAGUUAUUCAUUUCUAUUUACACGCACAGCACUUGCUCAUAUGCUGCGCCAUGGAGCCAGUGGGGCUCAUGUUCCUCUGUUUGAAAAAGAAAUGAGCUGUUGUCAAUUUGGCGAUGCGUGCCAUGGAAAGCGCACAUAUGUGCGAUAUCGACCGCUCCUGGGGAUUUGAGUUCUGGUUUUAUAGGUUUGCUGGUAUCGCCAAUUGUUUGGUUUUAUUUCAUUAUAUUUUUCUAAGUUUUUAUUUUAUUCUUUGUCUAUCUAUGUGCGUGCGUGCGUGCGUGUGUGUGUAUAUCGAUAUCUACUCGUAUAAUUUAUGUUUUGAAUUCGCUUUGAAACUGGACCUGACCUGUCCUUGGUUUGGAUACAAGUUUUGUUCGCGGUGCACGCGAACCAUGUUUCCACGAUCGAUACGGACAAGCUGUUCUCAAUUGGAGGUUUUAUUUUGUCCUCUCCUCUUGUUCUCUACUUUUUAAAUACGGAGUACGGUCCCACAUAAUAGGAUUCGAUGCCAAAUAUCCGGAGUAUUGAUAUUCCAGCCAAUUGGAGUGGUGAAAGUCACAUGAUUCGGCGCCAUGUAGAUCCGAGUAGUGUCCCACAUAGAGUUAGCCAAUAAUAUCAAGCUUAUAUAUCCAUCAAAAAAAAGUUUUAGCUGCGAACUCGCAGAAAAAAAAUAAAAUAAGCACUCGGAAUGUGGCCGUAAGGCGAAGAUCUAGCCGGCAAUAUCAUCAAAUCCAUCCAUCACCAAUCUAAACCCAAUCUGAGAUGCGCAGUGUGGCGGGCGCAUAUAUCCAUCUUUGUUUGGCUUCAAUAUUGGAUGGUACCGUUACAGCAUGAUAUUUAGAAUUUUGAAGCAGAACCAUGGGCCGUGGGGUGGUGGAUUCCCAAAAUUACCUUUAAUUUACCAGGCGAGAAAAAAGGCUUCAGAUAACGAUGAACUGAUCGGAGAUGGGUUUUCUUCAACAUCUAUUAUUAUUCAAGAUAUCAACCUCAAGUACUAUAGAGAAGAAAUGUACUCCGAAGGAAAGAAAUAAGAAGGGACCAUAAAACUUAGCCUUGGAAGACAGGGCCUGGUCCGCUGCCUAGCUCCUCAGCAUCAAACCAGCAGGUGCAUGUAUGUACAGUACAAUACAUUUACAACUGUCAAUAAAAGUACUCGACUUCAGUUUAAGCCACUCAACUUUUCAACAAAAGGUGAGAGAAAAAUAAACAGAACAACAUCCUGCUACGCGUAUUGUUUUGUCCAGUGUGAAAAGCCUGAAAAUGCGCUCCCCGCAGGUACCAAAGUUAACCAUCAUUAACACUCCUCUGGGCUACGCUUGGCACAUGUAAUCAUCAACCCAUCCACAAAAUCGAAUCAAAACACGAUUUGGAUAAAAACAACUGCAGGCGUUGUUUGUUAGUGCUUUUUGCUUUUUGUUUUUGUUUUUGUUUUUUUUUUUUUUUUCAUCUCUCCUAGCAAACUUCCUUAAUGAAUUGCUUGUUUCAUCGAGAUCAUGUACGUCACAGAGAGUGUAAACGCGCAGAAUAGAGGGGAAAACGGGAAAGGAUUGACUUCAUCAGACUAGCAAAACGGAGAAUAGGAAAGCUCUGGCAAACAGCAGGGAUAAUCCCGGACAAGCGCCAUGAGCAAUUGUAUUGCUCGUCAAUACGUAGUCCAUUUUUUCCUCCUUAUGCUGCUGGGCACAACUAGCUAAGUGAUAGAAGGGAUUCGGGCCACAAAACAACCCCUAGAUUACUAAGAAGGUUCAUAAUACUACUUCCCGAUAACGCAGUGGUAAAAGCAGGAACUUUCUCUUGGCUACUAGUUCCCGCGUCUCGUUAGGCUGCGCAGAAUAUGUGGACCCAUGGUAAAAUGGUAAAAAUUCCUCAGGAGAAAUCCUCGGCAAUGUCCGCGCCAGGAUUUUGUGUUAUCAAAUAAGACCUCACGGCUUCUGUAUCCAAUAGUUGUAAUUUCUGUUAUCAAAGGUGUCAUUGUUAGCCUAGAGCACACAAUAAUGGGCACACUGUGCAAAGAAGAUAUUGACGGGGAAGAACAAUGGCAGGGCGCGAAAACAUUGGCUACCUUUGCUUCUAUAUCACGAAGCCCGGCUUCUAGGAGUUCUCCCUCCAAUGUUCGAAGCUUAAGGGCUGUCUGCCAUACGGACUGGCGAAUCACCCUUCCGUCAACAUAUUCAAGCCAUCGCUGCACAUACUCGUCGUUCGAACGCAGUUGGGCCAGCUGACCUUGCAUCCGGUCCUGCAAGAUGACAACUGCCCGGAGCUGAAAGACUCCCCACAUCCGGUCCGCUUUGAGCUGGUCAAGCAGCGAUUCCGAAGAAGUAACGUUAGUUCCUUUCCACGAAACCUUGAGCUCUCGCUCUCCUUGGUUUGAUUGAACUACACGGAAUUCCAGGCCAUCUUCUUCGUUAACGCAACACCACCAGACAAAUGAGCUUUCCCAAUCAGUCACGUCAGAGCCAGGCGCGAUAAAGAGGCGAAAGCCUGGUGUCGUAUUGCAGACUGCUAUUUUUGCAGGCCGCAAUGGGUCAUCAGCGGGAAUGUCAAGGUCAAGGAAUAGCUGACGUGCAUUCGUCGAGCUACUAUCGAGAAAUCCGUACGAGAAUACCAUCUCGGAAGCACCCUUUUCGUCACCAUAUCUAUAGUUGCGCGGAUUGAAAGUUAGUCAAAUUGUCGACCUUCGUGUCCACAGUCACAUUAUCUAGCUUCAAGCAUACGUGAUAGUUAUUUCGUCGCCCACCUCUAAUCCUUGACCGCGGCGCAGUUGCAAAACAGCGUUUCCGUUUUCAUCAGUCUCAUACAAGGCGCUGGGCCGACCACCGGAGGCGUGAUUUACCAUAUCAAUACACGGGACCAUGGAAUGUCCCUUGCCUGGAAAUUCAAGAGCUCGCGAUCUAUACAUGGCAUCGACUAACUUCCAAUCCUCGAAGGUAAGCCGGCCAGUAUCUUCGUUCCACCAAUCACGGUCACAGAACGAGAUAUCCGUAGUGGCCUCACGUAACUGGUCAAACUCUUUCUCCAACGAAAGAAUCUUCGAAUCUAGAGCUAAUUCCAGCGAAGUGCCACGUAGAAGUUCGCGCUCCUCAAUGGUGUAUAAGGUGGGCAGGGAAUACGAGGCCGGGAGAAAUUUUAUGUAUUCUGUCCAAGCAUUGGAUACCUUAAUGUGCUCCUUUGACGAUAAAUCCGGAUCCGAGUACAAAAUGUGGACCAGGAGGAAAAGCAAUAUGGCACCUCGAGCUGUCUACACAUAUCAGAAAUUGAAAUAUGCAUCUACGGCCGAGGAAGCGGCAUUGCCGUGCCAGUGAAAGAAUACACACCAUUGCAUAAUCCCUCAUAGAAUCCAGUACCUCCUUCAAAUGCCUAUCUGUUUUUGCGCAUGUUUCCACUAACUCUAGUGAAAGUAAAAGGUCAGAUGGAAUAGUCAUGAGGACUUGCGGCUCAAUUUCGGCUUCGGGAUCGAGCUCCCCGGCUGAUUUCUUUGCUGUCGCAACUAUCCCGCAUCCUUUGUCAACCCCAUCCUUGGCCGGUAGCUGUGUCACCUCGACGUCGUGGAAUUCGACACAAUUAAGUCUAGUCCAUGCCGCGAGCGCACUGAUAGGAAGAUAUUCUCGCUUCAUUGGAGGGGAAGGAGUUUGGUGGACUAGUUACUGCGUAGUUUAUUUGCCGAUUGAGAUAAUGGAUCCCGAGUUUAUCUACGUGAAGUCAGGUGAUCAAACCACGGAGGUGACGAUGAUUGGCUCACCCAACCUCAUCCAACUUUUGGAACACUUGAGAGAUGAAUGACGGUAGCUGAUGGGCCAUAUCCUAUGCCGAUUCUCCUCCCCCCCUUUUUUUAGAAGAUGCGGACUAAGCUCAUUCCGAACUUAAAUUCCCCUCCUCAUGGCGGAACAACAACAAGCUGUGGACUUUCUGGCAACUUCUCAACCAGGACAGCCAUUUUCUACUGGUAUUUUGCAUAAAGCUCUGUCUGGGAAACGAUACGCCGUCUUUCCGAUUCGGCUUCACUGAAGCGAAUUCUGCCAUGAGAGCUGCACUUCAACCAAGGAAUUUUCACCACUUUCUCGUUCACACCACAUCCUCGCUAGCCUGCUUAUGUGAUAUGGCCCACUUCCAAAGCUACCAAUCAAAUUAUCAUACAUUCAUAACAGAAGAAGAAAGAAAUGAGUGAAAAUAGACUUAUUUUAACUGCUUUAGCAGUCAAGGGUCAAGGAUUAACUUAGAGAAGAGCUAAGCUGCUUUCUAUAUAUCUAGACAAUAUUUGCAUCUCUAUAUUGAUAUUUAGAACUAGUAGUCGACGCAACCGGUCAUGAUUGUCAGUAACCCAACAAUUAUAAAGAGUACAAUAUCACACGAUCAGGCUAACGAGAAUGUUGGUGUAAACGAGAAAGUAGUACGGAGUAGCUAUUCUCCAGUUACUCGCGGCCCCCCACUUACAAUCCUUUAUUACGACUAGUGUCUUUUUGAAGGAUAGUGGGGUGGGGUCCUCCAGUAGGUAUGAUAUAUCUUGUCCAAUUUUGUUCUCGCAGAACAAAUUCCACCGUUACGCCUUGAGAAAAAUGAACAUCUAGGAAAAGUCCCUUGACAAGUACCGCCGCU